rnacentral:SRP_RNA from 1 species
AGCGACCCUCGCAAGGGGAAAUCCGGCAACUUGGUCAGGCCUUAACUGGAGCAGCCACACCCGGAGGACUCUUGUGCGAGGGUCACUCCA